ACUAACAGCCCAUCAAGCUAUU
rnacentral:snRNA from 1 species